GGGAAGAUAAAUCGGUCAUUUCAAGAAAACUAGAAGGGCACUUUGCCCUUAAAAGACAAAUUCAAUUACUUUAUUGGAUUGUGAGGUGGUUCUUUAUUCCUUGGUCUGCUAUAUAACGGUUUGUUCAAGGGUGUGCUGAAGCUUUCUGUCGCCUUUUUUGUCACAGUUGAUUCCACAUGCCAGGUGCUUUGAAGACGACAUUUCGACAUGCAACCGGACAAGUCUUCCAAAUAUUGCAUUCUAGGUGGCAUGGUGUUGCUGCUGCUACCAUUUGGUGUAACUUUACCAGUGCAUAGGCCUACGCAGGAGGACCAUCUGCAACUGAACAGCAACACGAAACGGCACCUGGACCGUGCAAUACGCGACUGCAUGAAUAGUCGUUCAUCAAAUGUGGAUCAUCCAGCGACAGACGCUUUAGUCGACUGCAUCCUCUCUAGAUCCAUAGAAAACCUUCCUAUACUGGAUAAUAACAACUUUCAUAGACAUUUCACGCUGGACCAAAGUUCCCAAAACACAAUCAUUGUCAGGAGAUCGGGGCAUAGUUUUGAAAAGCGUCCGUUCACCGUGGGUCGGUACAAGCCGUUUUAUCCCUACGGGAAACCAGUAUAUGACGAGAAUGGGUGUGUUACUAUCGGAAAAUACCACCUCUGUUCUAUGCGAUAAAAAUUUAAGAACAUCGAAUAUUGCAAUUUUUCUCGAGAUCAGUUACACUUUAUCUUGUGAAAAUAUUGUACAUAUAUUUUUUAAGCACCGGU